rnacentral:rRNA from 1 species
CACGUAGUUAGCCGUCCCUUUCUGGUAAGAUACCGUCACAGUGUGAACUUUCCACUCUCACACUCGUUCUUCUCUUACAACAGAGCUUUUACGAUCCGAAAACCUUCUUCACUCACGCGGCGUUGCUCGGUCAGACUUCCGUCCAUUGCCGAAGAUUCCCUACUGCCUGCCUCCCGUAGGAGUCUGGGCCGUGUCUCAGUCCCAGUGUGGCCGAUACACCCCUCUCAGGUCGGCUAUGUAUCGUCGCCCUGGUGUAGCCGUUACCCCACCAACCUAGCUAAUACAACGCAGGUCCAUCUGGUAGUGAUGCAAUUGCACCUUUUAAGCAAAUGUCAUGCAACAUCUACUGUUACUGCGGUAUUAGCUAUCGUUUCCAAUAGUUAUCCCCGCUACCAGGCAGGUUACCUACGCGUUACUCACCCGUUCGCAACUCAUCCGGAGAAGCAAGCUCCUCCUUCAGCGUUCUACUUGCAUCGUAUUAGGCAACGCCGCCAGCGUUCGU